UUGACCUCAAAUCAGGUAGGACUACCCGCUGAACUUAAGCAUAUCAAUAAGCGGAGGAAAAGAAACUAACAAGGAUUCCCCUAGUAACUGCGAGUGAAGCGGGAAAAGCUCAAAUUUGAAAUCUGACGGUUCUUGACCGUCCGAGUUGUAAUCUAGAGAAGUGUUACCUGUGCUGGACCGUGUUCAAGUCUCCUGGAAUGGAGCAUCAUAGAGGGUGAGAAUCCCGUCUUUGACAUGGACUGCCUGUACGUCGUGGUGCGCUCUCAAAGAGUCGAGUUGUUUGGGAAUGCAGCUCAAAAUGGGUGGUAAAUGCCAUCUAAAGCUAAAUAUUGGCGAGAGACCGAUAGCGAACAAGUACCGUGAGGGAAAGAUGAAAAGAACUUUGGAAAGAGAGUUAAACAGUACGUGAAAUUGCUGAAAGGGAAACGCUUGAAGUCAGUCGUGUCGGCCAGAAAUCAGCCUUGCUUUUGCCUGGUGUACUUUCUGGUUCGGUGGGUCAGCAUCAAUUUUGGCCAUCRGACAAAGUCUUUGGGAAUGUGGCAUCCUUGGAUGUGUUAUAGCCCAUUGUCGCAUACGGUGGUUGGGAUUGAGGAAUUCAGCACGCCUCGCAAGGGGCCGGGUAUUUUUACCACGUUCGUGCUUAGGAUGCUGGCAUAAUGGCUUUAAUCGACCCGU
rnacentral:rRNA from 1 species